GGUACGUUCUCCUUACUUCAAAAAAAAAAUCAUUAGAAACAGUGAAGAACAUAGGGCGGGUCGUGUAAAUGGCCCCUGCCCCGUGUUUUGCAAAUUAACAGUGAUAACCCCGUGUUUCGCUAUUAAUCGGUGCAAUCCUCAUCACAUACCCUGUGUUCCUAUCUUCUCUUUCCCUAAUUUCUGCCUCAUGUUCCUUCUCUCUCUCCUUUUCUCUCUCAUGCAUCUCUCAUCAUGAACCGUCGCUCGCCAUUCUCCAUACCAUGGUUGCACCGGCGGUUCCAGCCUUCACCGACCACUGCGAUCGCGAAUCACGCCAGCACCUCCAUAGAUCGUGAUUGACGCGAGAAUCACCGCAGUCAACGAUCUAGUAAUAAUUGAUCUACCCUUGCACCGGAGUUGCUUGUCUCCGACGACACUCCUGUGCCGACAUCGCUCUUCCCCAUCACCUUACUGACUGCUAACCACACAACCCAUAAAUUUUCCAUUGAUCCACAGCCAUCCGAGUUCGCUCUACUAGUUGAUGAGCCAUCUGCUACGCCGCUCACUUUAGAGAUGCUGAUGCAACACUUAGACAGACGCUUCAAUCAACUUGAGCUGUAGAUCGCUGCUGAUUAGAGACAGACCUGUUCUAGCAUUGAGUGGCUUGCAUAGAGAGUCCAGACGCUGGAGGAAGACUGUGCCACUCAGUUUGCUACUAUCGAGGAUAGGCUGAGUGCCACCAGACUCUAUUACUAACAGGAGUUUUCUUAAUCCUACCUUUACUUUUACUUAUUUUUCUAUAUUCUGUUUAUUUUCUUUCUUUUUUUUUUUAUUGUUGUUUUUAUCUCGUGCCUACAUUAGUAUAUUGCAGCUCAGUUCUCGAUGUCAUGUGAAUAAUCAAACAUUGAGGACAAUUUUUUACUCU